UAUUCUCCUUAAAAAUCUGCUGUCUUGAAAAUAUAUUUUUUCUCACCAUAUAAUAACUGACCAAUUAAAAUGACCCUUAUUGUGACUGUAAUUAACAGUAUAAACCAAUCAAAUUCAAGAAAGCGUACAUGGUAAUAAAAUUACAAGUAUUUAAAAUAUUAACAAGUUUUGACAGCAAUCAACACCUUAUCAGUCAGCAAAUCUUAACAUUUAAAUUAUCAAGUCAGUCACAAUGACCUUAUCAUAAAUAGAUUUAGAAGCCUUUUAGCACAUUCUGGACUAUCAAAGAUUAAAGUGCAUAAAUGUGUCAAAGUUGAGACAACAAUAAAGUUUUGACAAGUGUCAUGAAAACAUGAAAAGAAUUUUCAUUAUUUAAAAUUUUAGCAACAUAAACUUAUUGAAUAAUUUAUCCUUAUUGUAGUUUCUAUGUUAAAAGAUAUACAUUUUUGUGCUAUCUGAUUUUUUACCGAUUUUUCUGAUUUUUCACUGCACAACACUAUGUACACUUCUUUGUAAGUAAAUAUAUGUAUAUGAUAGAAAAGGUUGAAACAUGAGUUUUUGGAGAUGUUUGUAAUAUUGUUAUGGAUUCAGUCUGUUGUCUUAUAUGGAAUAAUUAUUGAAUCGUAAAUUUCAUCCUGACUGAUUGUCCUGAUAUGUUGAUACAAAUAAUAUAUAAUAUAACAUACCUGAAUGAAAAUAUUAAUGUAGAACUUAGUUGCAUUCAAAGCAGAGAAAAGAUGUGAAUAGAUAAAUUUGAUAUGAAAUAUUUUUGUGUGAAAAUAUGUCAUAUUCAUGUAGUUGACACUUUUUGACACUUUCUAUAGUCACACUUUAUAAGUGGUAAAAGUAUACUUCUGUAUAAUGUAUAUAUUCUGAUGUUUAUAUAGUGUUUAGAGUGAAGAAAAAACAUAAAAUGUUAAUAAUUGAAAUCGAUACUUUGUAGGGGAUGGGAACAUUGUCCUGUCUAUUCCAGUUCCUUCCCAUUCAUGCCUAUCCUAAGCCAACCUGACCCGGUCCGUCCCAUUUCUGAUGGGUAAUUCAUGUAUGAUAGUACAAUUAAUAUAUAAUAUAGCAUAUUAGAAUUAAAAUAUUUAUGUUGAGCAUGGCCCAAAUAAAGGAAGAGAAAAUAUGUGUAUAAAUAGAAUAAUUAUGAAUAUGUUUUAUUUGUGCAGUUGACACUUACUAUGGUAACACUUUAUAAGAAGUGGUAAAAGUGCACUUCUUUAUAAGUAGAUAUAUAUUUGAUAGAAAAUGUUAAAAACAUUUGUUUUUUGAGCUGUUCAUAAUAUUAUUAUGGAAACAGUCUAUUACCUAAAGACAAAUGAUUAUUAAAUCUGGAACCACACUUGUAUGGGCAAAUGAAGGUUCAUGUACAGUUGUUGAAAGUUACAUUCUUGCUGUAUUUUGAGAAGUAUGGAAAAAGAAUUGUUUGAUAGGUAAAAUACUUUUCUGUGUUUCAGUCAUAUUUGCUGAUUUCGCUGACCAAUGUUGAAGCUGUGGAUUUUCCCAGAAGAAUGUUUUCAAGAAGAGACUGUAUUCAUUUGUAGUGUUUGAAGUGACAAAAGAAUAACAAAUUGGUACUUACUGGAAUUUAUGUUUUUGUGGAGUUGGGAAUCUGUGGUGUCUAUUCCUGUUCCUUCCCAUUCUGUCUUGUCCCAUCCUGACCUGGCCAAUCCAUUCCUGAUUGAUAAUCUAGAAGUGUUUGUAAAUAGAACAUGUUGCAUAAUUGAAUUGUAUAUUGAAGUAGUGUUUUAGAUAUGGCCACAAAAUAUGCUGAAAAAAAGACAGUGUAUAAAAAAUAUUAAUACCAAGUGCUUUAUUUAUGCUAUGGAUACUUAGUUUAGAUUAUUAUUGUAUAAAACUAAAGUGUGUUUCAGGAAAGUAUAAUUUAUAAGUCUGUACGAGUUUUGUCAAACAUAUGGAUACAGUUAUACAGUAUUAUACAGGAUAUAAGAUAGAAUAAAUAUUAAACCUGGAAUGACAUUUGUAGCAAUAUGUAAGGGAAAACUAUUGGGUAUAUAAACAUUGAAUGUAACAACAUGACAAGUCUCUUACAUUAAUAUAUGUUUCUAGAGACAGAAGACAAAAAGAUGUUGAAUGUGACAGCUGUAAAUGCUGGAAAUUUAAGUAGCAGGCUACAAGACUGAUUUCCAAACCAAAUGAUAGGCACUGGUAUGUAUUGUUGUUUAUAAUGAUACUUGUAGUGUUGUUUAUAAAAGGUUUCAUUGAUAUGUUCACCUGUUCAACACAGGUAAAUGUCAACUUCUCCACUCAUAUUAGAGGUGGAGGAUGAUUGAUUUAGACUUUAGUUUACCAGGAUUUAACUAAUAUAUUCCAUGUAACUUUUACCAUGAUUUUAGAUGCCUAAGUUCCAAAACAUUAUUAGCAGAAACGCCCAUGGAUGAAGAAUCAGAAGGCUUAAUCAACAGAUGGUGAAAAUUGUCACAUGCUGUAAGAAAAAUGUCAGCUGGAAAGAUAUAAUCCCUCACACCACCAGUACCAACUCGGACAGAUGGUAUCUCAACAUAUAGUAGAUUCACGGUGAUACAUUGUAGAGCAGAUAUAGCUGGUCAAAUCAUACAAGAAUGUUGAGACAUGGAUAGUUGGUUUCCUGCGAAGAAGAAUGGAUGAUGUUACACCUGCAGCCAGAGAGUUCGGAGAAAGGGAUCAGCUCAAAGAACAUUGGAGGGGUCUGAUGACAAUAUUGAUAUAGGUUAUGAAGGUAAUCUACAAUAUGAUUCUACAACUGCCAAUGAACUUCGGUAGAAGAGCUGGAGGGGAGUGCAGUGAGCAGAUUGCAGUACAGUCAACCCUGUCUAUAAAGACCACCCUUGGGAGAGCCAAAUGUGGUCUUUAUUGGGAGGUGGCCAUUAUUCACAGGUUAAGAUAUAUUGUAAAUGUUAAAAUGGGAAACAAAACAUGUGUUCUUUAGAGCCAGGUGGUCUCUGUUCAGAGGUGGUCUUUAACACGGGUUUGACUGUAUACACAUCAGUGGGAGUGGAACAGGCAGAUUUCAAUACAUACUACAUCAGUGGGAAAAGCACAUUGAAGUUCAGCUGUUUCCAGCUUGAAACACAUGCCAAUGUGGACAGCCUAGGAGGUCCUCAUCAAGUUGCAGUAGAUUCAUUGAAAAAAGAAAUGGAGUAAGCUGUACUUAUUGUGUUCUGCUACCUGUAAAGAAAUGGGGAAUCUUCAGACGCACAUAAUGACAUGGUCAACAUUAUGGAAGUUCAUGGAGUAUGCCCGUGGCCAGACUGAUCUUCAUCUCUUAGAGGUUGAAGUUGCAAGACUGAUGGAAAAUGACAGUGACUGGACAGACAAUGAUGAUGGUGAAGAACUAUAGAAAACUUCGGAAAACUUUUAAUAGUGGUCAUCAACAAGCAGUCAUUGAUUCCAGUAUUCCAGCCAAUGUAUCGCUCUCAGGUUGAAGUUGCAAGACUGAUGGAAAAUGACAGUGACUGGACAGACAAUGAUGAUGGUGAAGAACUAUAGAAAACUUGGGAAAACUUUUAAUAGUGGCCAUCAACAAGCAGUCAUUGAUUUCAGUAUUCCAGCCGAUGUAUCCCUCUCAUAGGUUAACUUUAAAGCAGUACUUGCACUGUCAUGUGGGGGAAAAACAUGAAAUGGAAACGAUCACUUACCAGCGCACACAGUUGACUUGAGAAGAAAUUUCUUAUUAGUCGGGUGAUUUUUUUAAACAUAA